rnacentral:rRNA from 1 species
UACGGGAGGCAGCAGUGGGGAAUAUUGCACAAUGGGCGCAAGCCUGAUGCAGCCAUGCCGCGUGUAUGAAGAAGGCCUUCGGGUUGUAAAGUACUUUCAGUCGUGAGGAAGGUGUUAAGGUUAAUAACCUUAGCAAUUGACGUUAGCGACAGAAGAAGCACCGGCUAACUCCGUGCCAGCAGCCGCGGUAAUACGGAGGGUGCGAGCGUUAAUCGGAAUUACUGGGCGUAAAGGGCACGCAGGCGGUUAAUUAAGUUGGAUGUGAAAUCCCCGGGCUUAACCUGGGAAUGGCAUUCAAGACUGGUUAGCUAGAGUCUUGUAGAGGGGGUAGAAUUCCAUGUGUAGCGGUGAAAUGCGUAGAGAUGUGGAGGAAUACCGGUGGCGAAAGGCGGCCCCUGGACAAAAGACUGACGCUCAUGUGCGAAAGCGUGGGGAGCAAAACAGGGAUUAGAUACC